rnacentral:piRNA from 1 species
UGACGAAUGAUUGUGCACAACGACUAGGA